GAUGAACGCUGGCGGCGUGCCUAAUACAUGCAAGUCGAGCGAACAGAUAAGGAGCUUGCUCCUUUGACGUUAGCGGCGGACGGGUGAGUAACACGUGGGUAACCUACCUAUAAGACUGGAAUAACUCCGGGAAACCGGGGCUAAUGCCGGAUAACAUUUAGAACCGCAUGGUUCUAAAGUGAAAGAUGGUUUUGCUAUCACUUAUAGAUGGACCCGCGCCGUAUUAGCUAGUUGGUAAGGUAACGGCUUACCAAGGCAACGAUACGUAGCCGACCUGAGAGGGUGAUCGGCCACACUGGAACUGGACCACGGUCCAGACUCCUACGAGAGGCAGCAGUAGGGAAUCUUCCGCAAUGGGCGAAAGCCUGACGGAGCAACGCCGCGUGAGUGAUGAAGGUCUUCGGAUCGUAAAACUCUGUUAUUAGGGAAGAACAAAUGUGUAAGUAACUGUGCACGUCUUGACGGUACCUAAUCAGAAAGCCACGGCUAACUACGUG
rnacentral:rRNA from 1 species